rnacentral:rRNA from 1 species
UCAGGGACGAUAAUGACGGUACCUGAUGAAUAAGCCACGGCUAACUACGUGCCAGCAGCCGCGGUAAUACGUAGGUGGCGAGCGUUGUCCGGAUUUACUGGGCGUAAAGAGCGCGCAGGCGGUCGUUCAAGUCGAGUGUGAAAGCCCCCGGCUCAACUGGGGAGGGUCACUCGAUACUGAUCGACUCGAAGGCGGGAGAGGGAAGCGGAAUUCCCGGUGUAGUGGUGAAAUGCGUAGAUAUCGG